rnacentral:lncRNA from 1 species
CGAAGCAUAUGAGGAGAAACUAGUUUUUUCAAUUCAUCAACUUUCUCUGCAGUCGUAAGAUCGUUAAAUCUCUCCUCAAAUGAAGAUAGAGAAGGAAACGAAGCUGGCUGUAAGAAAUUAAGCAAGUUGUACAUCUCACCAAGGUUGUUCUGAAGAGGGGUACCCGUCAAGAGAACACGAUGUUGAAAAGAGAAUGUAUUUAGCAAGCUGAAGAGCUUACUGUCUGAAUUUUUCAAUCGAUGGCCCUCGUCAACAACAAGAACUUCCCAAGGAAUUCCCCGCAAAUGAGAAUAAUCAGCAAGAACCAUUUCAUAUGUAGUUAAAAGCACAUUAAAUUUAUAGGCUUCUGUUUUCUUAUUCAAUCCACUUGGAUCACUUGCAUGCCAUUCAUACUGCCGAAUUACGCCUCUUGCUUUUGCACAGCCAUGAUAGUCUACAACGUUCACAUCUGGAGCCCAUAGCGUGAAUUCAGCAAGCCAAUUGGGCAUUGUGGUAAGAGGUACCAGGACCAAACAAGGACGUGAAACUUUGAAUUCAAAAUACAAUGAUGAAAUAAAAGCACCAGCAGAUAUUGUUUUCCCAAGUCCCAUCUCAUCAGCAAGUGUAUUAACAAAGGGACUUUCUACAGAACAGUUCCUAGAACUUACUGGCAAGUUGAGAAUGAUAUAUGUCAAUUCACUACUUGAAAGGGAAUCUUCUAUUGCAGGAAGCUCUUCUAAUAUUUCCUUUUAUAUGGAUUUAUUUCCUCUUUUCCGUAUAGUUGUUUUCCAUAAUUUUCAUUGUUAGGACAGAUUCUCUUUCCUUAAAUUUGGAAUAGCAAUUAAUAGAAUUUAUGUGCAUCGGUCUAUAAAAUGUAAGUUAUGUUUUCAUGCAAAAUCUAGUUUCCAGUCAAUUUUCUCUAUAUAUGUGUAAAGAUUCUAGGUUCUAGACGAAUUUCAAUGAACCAAACAAAUACUGUAUCUACUAGCUAAUAGUCAACUACUUCACCUUCACUGAACCCAGCAUGUCAUUCUCAGAAUCCCCUUCAGCAAUAUCAGUUGAACCAUCUUGAAGGUUUGAACGAUCAAGCAAUUUUAAAAUGGCAUUUUCAUCCCACAGAAUCUUGCUACUGCUAUCUGUACACUUAUCCUCAUAUACGUCACCAAGACCACCAGUCCUCUUCCGGUGCUUCUGUUUCCGAUGCUUAUGUCCUAUAUCUGCUACUGCCUCAUCUUUGUGACUAUUAUUAUUUUCAUUUGUGUCUUUUCCAUUAAGGCCAGGAGAAUCAUUGAAGAGUUCUUCAGUUCCCCAUUUUAAAAUAUCUUCUACUUCUUUUUGAGAUCCAGAUUUAUUUACAAAAAGUUGAUCAAGCAUCAAUUUCUUCUUAGCAAGCUGCAAGAUGCGUUCUUCAACGCUGGCACGAACCACAAGCCGGUAUACCAAAAGUCUAUUUGAUUGCCCAAUUCUGUGUGCUCGAUUCAUUGCUUGUAUAUCUGCAUGAGGGUUGAAAUCAGAAUCAUAGAUGAUGACAGUGUCCGCAGAGGCCAAAUUUAUCCCAAGUCCACAGGACCUAGUUGAUAACAAGAAAACAAAUCGGCUUUUGUCUUGGUUGAAUCGUGCAAUUGCUGUCUGACGAUCUGCUAUGGAGACAGAGCCGUCCACUCUCUCGUAUGUUUUAGGCCCAAAUUCUAUGUUCAAAUAGUCCUCCAGGAUGUCAAGAAGUUUUGUCAUUUGUGAGAAAAUAAGAACUCUGUGACCUUCAUUGUACAAAAUCUUUAGCAUAGAAUGCAGAAGAGUCAACUUAGCUGAAGCCUUUAUUCUCAUUUCAUGAAGGAACUCAACAGAUCCAGAAUCAGGCUCAGUCCCUGGUAUAAGAUAUGGAUGAUUGCAGACCUUCCUCAGUUGCAUCACAAUGUUCAUCAUAGAUUGAUGAGCAAUACCUUUCCCAAUAUUCCGCAAUAUUUGAUAAUUCUUUGUAAGCAUUGCACGAUAAUAUUCAGCUUGGAUGGAUGACAACUCAACAGGAACAAUUCUUUCUGUCUUGGGAGGAAUAUUUUGCAUCGCAUCCUUUUUAAGUCUGCGAAGCAUAUGAGGAGAAACUAGUUUUUUCAAUUCAUCAACUUUCUCUGCAGUCGUAAGAUCGUUAAAUCUCUCCUCAAAUGAAGAUAGAGAAGGAAACGAAGCUGGCUGUAAGAAAUUAAGCAAGUUGUACAUCUCACCAAGGUUGUUCUGAAGAGGGGUACCCGUCAAGAGAACACGAUGUUGAAAAGAGAAUGUAUUUAGCAAGCUGAAGAGCUUACUGUCUGAAUUUUUCAAUCGAUGGCCCUCGUCAACAACAAGAACUUCCCAAGGAAUUCCCCGCAAAUGAGAA